rnacentral:rRNA from 1 species
UACGUAGGGUGCGAGCGUUGUCCGGAAUUACUGGGCGUAAAGAGCUCGUAGGUGGUUUGUCGCGUUGUUCGUGAAAUCCUUCGGCUCAACCGAAGAACGUCGGCCGAUACUGCCGUUCUUGAGGGAUGCAGAGGAGAUUGGAAUUCCCGGUGUAGCGGUGAAAUGUGUAGAGAUCGGGAGGAACACCGGUGGCGAAGGCGGGUCUCUGGACAGUUCCUGACGCUGAGGCACGAAGGUCAGGGGAGCAAACGGG